rnacentral:rRNA from 1 species
CCUACGGGCGGCUGCAGUGAGGAAUAUUGGUCAAUGGGCGCGAGCCUGAACCAGCCAAGUCGCGUGAGGGAAGACGGUCCUAUGGAUUGUAAACCUCUUUUGUCGGGGAGCAAAAGACGCCACGCGUGGCGUUCCGAGAGUACCCUAAGAACAAGCAUCGGCUAACUCCGUGCCAGCAGCCGCGGUAAUACGGAGGAUUCGAGCGUUAUCCGGAUUUAUUGGGUUUAAAGGGUGCGCAGGCGGAAGAUCAAGUCAGCGGUAAAAUUGAGAGGCUCAACCUCUUCGAGCCGUUGAAACUGGUGUUCUUGAGUGAGCGAGAAGUAUGCGGAAUGCGUGGUGUAGCGGUGAAAUGCAUAGAUAUCACGCAGAACUCCGAUUGCGAAGGCAGCAUACCGGAGCUCAACUGACGCUCAUGCACGAAAGUGUGGGUAUCGAACAGGAUUAGAUACCCCUGUAGUC